AGCUGGCUGGUGCCAUGAGGUGACUUCUGCCCAGUGCUCUGAUUGUCAAUGCGAAGAGAUUCAGCCAAGCGCGGGUAAACGGCGGGAGUAACUAUGACUCUCUUAAGGUAGCCAAAUGCCUCGUCAACCAAUUAUUGACGCGCAUGAAUGGAUCAACGAGAUUCCUGCUGUCCCUAGUCGCUGUCUGGUGAACCAACAACCAAGGGAACGGGCUUGGACGUGUCAGCGGGGAAAGAAGACCCUGUUGAGUUUGACUCUAGUUUGAUGUUGUGCAACGACAUGGAGGGUGUAGCACAGGUGGGAGGCAAGUGCCUCGAGAGAGCAGAGCAGAGACCCACAGAGGCUGAGCUGUGGUGCGAGCCAGCAGUGAAAUACCACUACCUUCACCGUCGUUUUACUCAUCGAGUGGCCAGAGAACGGUGUACCCGCUAGAGAUCGCUCCGCCCCUCGGGGAGGACCGUGGAUUCACUCGCUUCGUGCGCAAGGGCUAAGCUAUGGACUGGCCUUCGGGCCUGGACGUCUGCCUGACUCAGGGACAUCACCCUAUCAGAGGCCUCGAGACAGAGAUCAGUUGGGGAGUUUGGCUGGGGCGGCACGCCCGUUACACAACAACGCGAGCGUCCUGAAGCAUUGCUCAGAUGGAACAGAAAUCCCUCAGGGAGAAGAAGGUCAAAGGUGCUGCUGAUGCUGUGACCUCCAGUGCAGGUCCAAAACGUGCAAGUGUGGCCUAGCGAUCCUUUGGUCAAGUGCGCGAGUUCAGGAUAUCGAAGCCAGAGGUGUCAGAAAAAUUACCACAGGGAUAACUGGCUUGUGGCUGCCAAGCGUUCAAAGCGACGUGGCUUUUUGAUCCUUCGAUGUCGGCUCUUCCUAGCUUCCCGCCCGCAGCAGAGCGGAAGAGUUGGAUUGUUCACCCACCAACAGGGAACGUGAGCUGG
rnacentral:rRNA from 1 species